rnacentral:rRNA from 1 species
UACGUAGGUGGCAAGCGUUGUCCGGAAUUAUUGGGCGUAAAGCGCGCGCAGGUGGUUUAGAAAGUCUGAUGUGAAAGCCCACGGCUCAACCGUGGAGGGUCAUUGGAAACUGCUAGACUUGAGUGCAGGAGAGAAAAGUGGAAUUCCUAGUGUAGCGGUGGAAUGCGUAGAGAUUAGGAGGAACACCAGUGGCGAAGGCGGCUUUUUGGCCUGUAACUGACACUGAGGCGCGAAAGCGUGGGGAGCAAACA